rnacentral:rRNA from 1 species
GACGAACGCUGGCGGCGUGCCUAAUACAUGCAAGUUGAGCGAUGAAGCUUGGUGCUUGCACCAAUUUGAAGAGCAGCGAACGGGUGGGUAACGCGUGGGGAAUCUGCCUUUGAGCGGGGGACAACAUUUGGAAACGAAUGCUAAUACCGCAUAAUAACUUUAAACAUAAGUUUUAAGUUUGAAAGAUGCAAUUGCAUCACUCAAAGAUGAUCCCGCGUUGUAUUAGCUAGUUGGUGAGGUAAAGGCUCACCAAGGCGAUGAUACAUAGCCGACCUGAGAGGGUGAUCGGCCAAAUUGGGACUGAGACACGGCCCAAACUACUACGGGAGGCAGCAGUAGGGAAUCUUCGGCAAUGGACGAAAGUCUGACCGAGCAACGCCGCGUGAGUGAAGAAGGUUUUCGGAUCGUAAAACUCUGUUGGUAGAGAAGAACGUUGGUGAGAGUGGAAAGCUCAUCAAGUGACGGUAACUACCCAGAAAGGGACGGCUAACUACGUG